rnacentral:rRNA from 1 species
GUCGUGAGACAGUUCGGUCCCUAUCUGAUAUGGGCGUUGGAAAUUUGAGUGGAUCUGCCUUUAGUACGAGAGGACCGAGGUGGACGAAGCUCUGGUUUACCGGUUGUCGCGCCAGCGGCAAGUGCCGGGUAGCUAACUUCGGAACGGAUAACCGCUGAAAGCAUCUAAGUGGGAAUCCGGCCACGAGAUUAGAUUUCCCUGGGAGUUCAACUCCCCUGAAGACUCCUCAGAUACUAUGAGGUUGAUAGGUUGCAGGUGUAAGUGCCGCGAGGUAUUCAGCCGAGCAAUACUAAUAAGUCGUGAGGCUUGGCCUU